rnacentral:rRNA from 1 species
UGGGGAAUAUUGCACAAUGGGGGAAACCCUGAUGCAGCGACGCCGCGUGAGUGAAGAAGGUCUUCGGAUCGUAAAGCUCUGUUGAGAGGGACGAGAGAUUACUUCAGGAAAUGGGAGUAAGAGGACGGUACCUUUCGAGGAAGCCACGGCUAACUACGUGCCAGCAGCCGCGGUAAUACGUAGGUGGCGAGCGUUGUCCGGAAUUAUUGGGCGUAAAGGGAGCGCAGGUGGGACUUCAAGUCAGUCUUAAAAAGUGCGGGGCUCAACCCCGUGAUGGGAUUGAAACUGUAGUUCUUGAGUGCAGGAGAGGAAAGCGGAAUUCCUAGUGUAGCGGUGAAAUGCGUAGAUAUUAGGAGGAACACCAGUAGCGAAGGCGGCUCUCUGGACUGUAACUGACGCUGAGGCACGAAAG